AAAUUAUUAAACUAGCAAAAAAAUGCAUAAAACUUAGAAUUUUAUAAAUCUCAUA
rnacentral:tRNA from 1 species